ensembl:miRNA
AUGACCGAUGUCUGUGUGACGAACUUUGCAGACACGUCCAACACGUUCAUCUGUCUCCG